GGCGGCUUGAGGCGGGCCUGGCACAGAAGCACCAGCAAUCGGGGAAGGAGAGGGCAGCGCCAUCCCGCUGUGGAGGCCUGGCCCAGUCUCGUGUUUCUGGUGCACUUGACCAUUUCUAAAGCUUUUGCUGGAAAGAAUGGUUGGAGGCAGGGCGAGCCCAGGCUCUGUGGUCCCCUUCCUGUCAGGAAGACACUUCUGGGGCAGAGUGAUGGCUGGGCGGCUGGGCCACAGGUGGGGAGCCAGCCCUGGUAGUGCUGAAGGGCCCUGACCCAGGGGCAUGCUUGUCCCAUGGAACCGUCACAUGGCCUGGCUGGGGGCGGCAAGGUCCGUUGUGGCAGCCUUUUCACUUGUGCCUGGGAGGAGCAGUGUGGGAGGGACUUGGGGCAGGCUCCGAGCAAAGCUGCGUGUUCACACCCACAACGGGGGCCCAGGGAGAGUAACAGCCACUCUUGGGGUUGUCUGGGCAGUGACUCAGGAGAAGGUGGGAAGCCAUGCCGAGCUGGCGAAUGGCCCCUCCUGAGGAUGAUGGGGAGAUGACUGAUGACAGCGGACAGUGCUGACCCCUGGCCUGUGUCCUCACUCCUGUCUGACCAAAUGUGAGCCCGCCUCCUCCAUCCUGAGCUCUGUGACUCCUCUCACCACUGUCUGCGAGGUCGAUGCAUGUCCUCCUCCCUCCUUCAUGUAUUAGUGCAUCCUCACAACCGACACACGCACCCAGCCCAUUAACGACCCGGCAUGGGCUCUUGUGUAGACUUGCAUCCUUGUGGGGACUUUGGUGGUGAAGAAUGAAAGCGUAUGCCUGGUGCAGAGGGAGCUGGAGGAAUCACAUCUGGAAACUCACCCUGCGUCUGGGGCAGGGGAGGUCUGGCUUUACAGGGCCACUGGGGCUGAUAAGGGAGAAAUGGAGGUGCAGCGCGUGCAGGGUCCUCCACGGGCUGGAGUUUCCUUGGAGGGGACAGUUGUCACUCCCUGUGGUGGGCCUGGUGAAAGGCUGGCAGGGAGGAAGCCCACCUGGGCCACGCAGACCGGUCCUGGCUGGUGGAGCCUCAGCCCUGUAGGCAGCUGUGCUUCCUCAUUGACUCCUCGGUGCAGCUGGACUCACACAGCAGAUGCACCCACCUUUAUGAGAAUCCCUGUCUACGCCAGCAGAUGGUUGCCAUGGAGAUGUCCUUGGGACAGGGUAGAGGGCAUAGAGAGGGAGGGGGAGCAUCCCCUCAGAGACCUGUGCUUGCCUGCAGAAACUACUGUCCGUCCGGCUGGCGGGUGACAGCCGGGAAGUCUUGCGACAUGGAUGGGGGAAGGGCUCCCCAGGGUCAGCGCCACUACCCGGCCCCCGGAGCCUCUCCCCCAGCGCAUCUCCGAGCUUGAGUCACCAGCCCCUGGGCCUCACGGCCCUGCAUCUCAGCCACAGACUUGGAGACUCCCUGAUGUCCACGGCAGAGCUGGCUGGGGACGAUGGAGUGAAGAAGCCAGGCUUUGGCUCUGGGGGAGGCCUGAGGUUCAGCCACACAGAGCACCGUCCUGUGCACCUGCUGCUUCCUGGGAUGCCGGCACCGCGGGUCUCUCCACUGAGGCAAAGCGCUGGGGACAGCAGGGAGCCCCACGGGUCUGCUCUCCAAGGACCCUCCAGAGGUCCUCCUCUGUCGCUGUCCACUACCCUCCCCGGGGCGCACUCAGAGGUCGACGUGGAGGUGGAACCCGGCUGGACCCUGAGAGGCAGGGGCACCUGGGCCUUCCCUCCCCAGGCAGGCGGCAGGGCCUGGGCUGUCACUGGAUGCUCCGGGUGGGCCAGCGGGGAGGUGGCCGACCAUCGGGCAGCGGAUCUUUCACACCAUCUCUCUGGACCUGCAAACAUUCUCGAUAACGCCAGCAG
ensembl:lncRNA